rnacentral:rRNA from 1 species
GAUGAACGCUGGCGGCGUGCUUAACACAUGCAAGUCGAACGAUGAAGCCCAGCUUGCUGGGUGGAUUAGUGGCGAACGGGUGAGUAACACGUGAGUAACCUGCCCUUGACUCUGGGAUAAGCCCGGGAAACUGGGUCUAAUACCGGAUAGGAGCGCCUGUCGCAUGACGGGUGUUGGAAAGAUUUUUCGGUCAUGGAUGGACUCGCGGCCUAUCAGCUUGUUGGUGAGGUAAUGGCUCACCAAUGCGACGACGGGUAGCCGGCCUGAGAGGGUGACCGGCCACACUGGGACUGAGACACGGCCCAGACUCCUACGGGAGGCAGCAGUGGGGAAUAUUGCACAAUGGGCGGAAGCCUGAUGCAGCGACGCCGCGUGAGGGAUGACGGCCUUCGGGUUGUAAACCUCUUUCAGUAGGGAAGAAGCGAAAGUGACGGUACCUGCAGAAGAAGCACCGGCUAACUACGUG